rnacentral:lncRNA from 1 species
CGACCCUUCCAUCUCAGCUUCCUGAGUAGCUGGGACUACAGUCCCUGGAACAUCUGGCAGCCAUGGCUCUUCCUCUCUCUCCAGCUAGAAGAUCAGGUCAGGUUUGAGGCCUGAAAAUUCUGCUGGCAGAGAUGGAAACACAACACGUGCAUUUCUGCUGAGAACCAAAGCCUACGGUCUGCAGAGAGCAGGCAGAGAGAUUCAGCUGGACCAGCCCCAGCUGGAAGAAACAAAUCUGGUGUUCCCUGACUCUGCACCACCCAAGUCAGGGUGGUUCAGUCCCCCAGCUUCGACAGAAGAACCACAUCACUCAGGCCCACAAUUCCCCAAACCACAGGAAGAGCAACCAGGUUUUAGGCCCUGGUGAUGGGACAGGUGGCCAUGAGGCCUCCUGUGUAAACCUGGAACUUGGGAAGAGGCCUUGGAGCAACCGGCUACACCCAGAAGCUCCCACCCCAGCUCACGGGUGAAGGGCCAGUGGAACAGGAGAAGCUCCCACCCCAGCUCACGGGGGAAGGGCCAGUGGAACAGGGAUGUGUUCUUCCUACAGAAAGCCUUGUGACUUCCUGCCCUUUCAGUAAAGGCUUUUGUGCAUUCUACUGGAAUGUCAGGUAUCAAACCACUACCGCCACCGCAUAGCCCUUGCCCGCCUGCAGUCGGCCUUCUGGUCCGUCUGACGCAGUCGAACUCUGCAGCGUUCACCUUGCUUCCUAUCUUGUUUUGCUUCCAACUUUCCAUUACAAAAAACUUCCAACAUAGAGAAUAUUAACAACUACUUCCGACCGGGCGCGGUGGCUCACACCUGUAAUCCCAGCA